rnacentral:rRNA from 1 species
AUUGAACGCUGGCGGCAGGCCUAACACAUGCAAGUCGAACGAGUGGCGGACGGGUGAGCAAUGUCUGGGAACCUGCCUGAUGGAGGGGGAUAACUACUGGAAACGGUAGCUAAUACCGCAAACCAUCAGAUGUGCCCAGAUGGGAUUAGCUUGUUGGUGGGGUAACGGCUCACCAAGGCGACGAUCCCUAGCUGGUCUGAGAGGAGGACCGGCCACACUGGAACGGAUACACGGUCCAGACUCCUACGGUAGGCAGCAGUGGGGAAUAUUGCGCAAUGGGCGCAAGCCUGAGGCAGCAAGGCCUCGUGUGUGAAGAAGGCCUUCGGGUUGUAAAGUUCUUUCAUCGGGGAGGCGUUACCUGCACAAGAAGCACCGGCUAACUCCGUGCCAGCAGCCGCGGUAAUUC